rnacentral:rRNA from 1 species
GAUGAACGCUGGCGGCGUGCCUAAUACAUGCAAGUCGAGCGAACGGACGAGAAGCUUGCUUCUCUGAUGUUAGCGGCGGACGGGUGAGUAACACGUGGAUAACCUACCUAUAAGACUGGGAUAACUUCGGGAAACCGUAGCUAAUACCGGAUAAUAUUUUGAACCGCAUGGUUCAAAAGUGAAAGACGGUCUUUCUGUCACUUAUAGAUGGAUCCGCGCUGCAUUAGCUAGUUGGUAAGGUAACGGCUUACCAAGGCAACGAUGCGUAGCCGACCUGAGAGGGUGAUCGGCCACACUGGAACUGAGACACGGUCCAGACUCCUACGGGAGGCAGCAGUAGGGAAUCUUCCGCAAUGGGCGAAAGCCUGACGGAGCAACGCCGCGUGAGUGAUGAAGGUCUUCGGAUCGUAAAACUCUGUUAUUAGGGAAGAACAUAUGUGUAAGUAACUGUGCACAUCUUGACGGUAUCUAAACAGAAAGCCACGGCUAACUACGUG